CGUCCGCCACGUCCGCUCCACUUCAUCCAAAGGUAACAAAGUACGCACUUUCUGCUUCCCUGGUGCCCGAGUUAAGAAUAUUUCUGCACAGAUACCUACUAUCCUGAGCGCUGCCGAGAGCCUCGGUGCCGCCGUCCUCCACGUGGGGACGAACGACACCAGGCUCCGGCAGACGGAGAUCCUGAAGAAGGACUUCAGGAGCCUGAUCGAGACGGUUCGACGCACUUCGCCCGCCACGCAGAUCAUCGUUUCUGGACCGCUUCCUACCUACCGCCGAGGAAAUGAAAGGUUCAGUAGACUUUUUGCUCUGAAUGAAUGGCUAUUAACAUGGUGUGAAGAACAGAAAUUGCUCUUUGCCAAUAACUGGAAUCUUUUCUGGGAGCGUCCUAGGCUUUUCCGCGCUGAUGGGCUGCACCCCAGUCGAGCUGGAGCUGAACUCCUGUCGGACAACAUCACCAGAACACUUCGCUCUAUCUGACUAGCCCUCAGACUAUGCAGAGUCACUGAUUCGAUCCAAGACCAACGACGAGAUGAUCCCAAGGUUUCCAUAUCCUGGACCUGGCCGAAUCCUGAACAACUACUGCGAUGGUCAUGGAGGAGUGGAGAACAUGAGACUGUUUCCUGUGACGCUCCAGAGACAGACGAGUCUUCGCUGAGGCCAGCUUCCAGCCUCCGCCACUGAGACUGCAGCUCUGCACAAGACGUUUGGCCAGCGGAGAAAUUAAAAUGGUCGUGCCCAACUGAGUCUGGUUUCUCUCAAGGUUUUUUUUCUUCACUUCCGCCUUUAGUGAAGUUUUUUUUCCCUCUCCGCUGUCGCCACUGGCUUGCAUGGUUCAGGAUCUGUAGAGCUGCGCAUCGAUGGAUUUGCUCUUCAGUAUUUGGACUCUCAGUAGUGAUUAUUAAACCACACUGAACUGAGCUAAACUGAACUGAACUUAAACACUACAAACUGAACUACACUGUUCCUAUUUACUGUGACCUUUUAUGUGAAGCUGCUUUGACACAAUCUACAUUGUAUAAGCGCUAUACAAAUAAAGGUGAAUUGAAUUGAAUUGAAUUGGAU